CUCUUCCCUUCAAAGCACCCUGCUCAAACUACAGAAGCCACCAGCCUUCCGGGCUUAGCUGACGUGGGUGUGUAAGCACGGGUACACCAGGGAAGAAGACUAAAGGCACAGUGUCGGAAAUGAGACCAGGAGGGACCUCUUUCUUAAUGUCCUGUGUCCUUUUUGUCUCAAGAGGCUGUGUUACAUUA